rnacentral:rRNA from 1 species
UACGAAGGGUGCAAGCGUUACUCGGAAUUACUGGGCGUAAAGCGUGCGUAGGCGGUUUGUUAAGUCUGCUGUGAAAGCCCUGGGCUCAACCUGGGAACUGCAGUGGAUACUGGCGAGCUAGAGUGUGUCAGAGGAUGGUGGAAUUCCCGGUGUAGCGGUGAAAUGCGUAGAGAUCGGGAGGAACACCAGUGGCGAAGGCGGCCAUCUGGGACAACACUGACGCUGAGGCACGAAAGCGUGGGGAGCAAAC